rfam:Hordeum vulgare subsp. vulgare, WGS project CAJW01000000 data, contig: morex_contig_1560626
ACAAUACUCCUUCCGUCCGGAAAUACUUGUCGGUCAAAUGAAUGUAUCUAGAUGUAUUUUAAUUUUAAAUACAUCCAGUUUUAUCCAUUUAUUCUAAAAGUAUUUUCUGAUAGAGGGAGUACACA